rnacentral:lncRNA from 1 species
GAUUAUAUUUGCUAGAAAGAAAUGACAGGAAGCACGUCCUGUUCACAUCCUCGCAAGGCGCUUCGAAACUACUCAUAUUCUGAUAUACUCCCGUACACAUUGCCGACGGCCCAUACUCAUAUUCUGAUAUACUCCCAUACACAUUGCCGACGGCCCAUACUCAUAUUCUGAUAUACUCCCAUACACAGUAUAUAUAUAAACCAAUAACAGUUGUUGCCCAACAACAGAUACAGAGUAGGAUACAGACCACGGCCCCAUACACAUUCACAACACACACUUGACUGAGCCCCUAGUGCUGAAGCUUGGAAC